GUGCGGCAACCCUGGGUGGGUGGGGGGUGCAGCCCUGAGAGGUUUGGUGGGGCAUUUCACUUAGGGUUCCCACCUUUUCUAGAAAAAAAAAUACGGCCUUCCUAUUUUUCCCUAUAAGUCACAUUGGCAUGAAGCACCGUUAUUACCGGCCAGGUGGCAACCAUGACUCCAGCCAGACAGCUAGUCCAGCCCUCACGAGCCUCACCUUGAAAGCUCCGAUGUCACGUGACCUGUAUAUAAGCGCCGUGCCCGUUGCUGCCGCUAGUAAUAACCCCAGGGCCUGACUGGAGCGCGUGGGUUCCUCUGCGUAGGCGCCGCCAGAUUGGGGCCACAUGAACAAGCCAAUGUGCUCCCUGAUCCGACAGAAAAUCAAAUCUGCUGGAUCGAGUUCUGCCCAAUUUUAGGAAGCCAUUGUACCUAUUGUGCCAAACGAUGAAUAUGUUUUGAGUAAAAGAGAAGCAUCGGAUGGGAGUCUGUGUAGUGGGAAACCCGGGGUACCUGUGAAUGGCAGAACCGAGCCGUGAAGCCGUGAUUACAUGAAUGCAAGGUAACAGAAAUAACAGAACAGCAGCUGGUGCAAGGUAAAACUAUAAACAAAUACUGUUUACAGGCCAGUGACGGGAGCAAUCGGCAGGCUGAAAUGGAGUCAUUGGGCCGGUAGUCAGGACAGGCAGCUGCAAGCAAAGAGCAGGCCACAGUCAAAACCAGGAGAUCCACAAGAACAGAGCUAGGAGGGGCACAGGAGUACAGGAACCAGGCACAGAACAAGAAGCAGACAAUAGUUUUGCUGUAUGGAUGGAGCCAGGGGGGACCCCAAAAAUGAGCUCACGGUUCAACUAUGAAAUUCUUUUCUCAGGAGAUUAAUUUCCUAGACACAAAAAUAUAUAAGGUUAUGGGUGCGGCAGUGAGGAGAUGUGGCUGCCGGCCAGCGUGAGGCGGUGCAACCCGGCGGUGAAAGGGUUAGAAGAGAAACAUGUGGGGGUCUGGCCUCACGGUUGACCCCUGGG